rnacentral:rRNA from 1 species
UACGUAGGGCGCGAGCGUUGUCCGGAAUCAUUGGGCGUAAAGAGCUCGUAGGCGGCCUGUCGCGUCUGCUGUGAAAUCCCGGGGCUUAACCCCGGGCGUGCAGUGGAUACGGGCUGGCUGGAGGCAGGCAGGGGAGAACGGAAUUCCUGGUGUAGCGGUGAAAUGCGCAGAUAUCAGGAAGAACACCAAUGGCGAAGGCAGCUCUCUGGGACGGUACUGACGCUGAGACGCGAAAGCGUGGGGAGCGAACAGG